rnacentral:rRNA from 1 species
AGUGAACGCUGGCGGUAUGCCUAACACAUGCAAGUCGAGCGACCGCACAGUAAGAUCUUUCUCUUACUGUUGGCGACUGGCGGACGGGUGAGACAUACAUCGCAUUCUACUUUUUCUUGGGUGAUAUCGGGGGGACACUUCUGCUACUACCUCAUACUUUCUACGGGUGGAUUCAGGGGUGCUUCGGACCUUGCCCGUUUCAUUUAGCCGAUGUCGCAUUAGCUAGUUGGCUUGGUAAAGUCCCACCAAGGCGACGAUCCGUAGCUGGUCUGAGAGGAUGAUCAGCCACACUGGAACUGAGACACGGUCCAGACUCCUACGGGAGGCAGCAGUGGGGAAUAUUGGACAAUGGGCGAAAGCCUGAUCCAGCAAUGCCGCGUGGGUGAAGAAGGGCUUCGGGUUGUAAAGCCCUGUUGUUGGGAAAGAAAAGAAGCAGGUGAAACCCCCGACGUUCUGACGGUACCCAAAGAAUAAGCCCCGGCUAACUUCGUG